rnacentral:rRNA from 1 species
GAGCUUGCUCCUUUGACGUUAGCGGCGGACGGGUGAGUAACACGUGGGUAACCUACCUAUAAGACUGGGACAACUUCGGGAAACCGGAGCUAAUACCGGAUAAUAUGUUGAACCGCAUGGUUCAAUAGUGAAAGAUGGUUUUGCUAUCACUUAUAGAUGGACCCGCGCCGUAUUAGCUAGUUGGUGAGGUAACGGCUCACCAAGGCAACGAUACGUAGCCGACCUGAGAGGGUGAUCGGCCACACUGGAACUGAGACACGGUCCAGACUCCUACGGGAGGCAGCAGUAGGGAAUCUUCCGCAAUGGGCGAAAGCCUGACGGAGCAACGCCGCGUGAGUGAUGAAGGUCUUAGGAUCGUAAAACUCUGUUAUUAGGGAAGAACAAACGUGUAAGUAACUGUGCACGUCUUGACGGUACCUAAUCAGAAAGCCACGGCUAACUACGUGCCAGCAGCCGCGGUAAUACGUAGGUGGCAAGCGUUAUCCGGAAUUAUUGGGCGUAAAGCGCGCGUAGGCGGUUUUUUAAGUCUGAUGUGAAAGCCCACGGCUCAACCGUGGAGGGUCAUUGGAAACUGGAAAACUUGAGUGCAGAAGAGGAAAGUGGAAUUCCAUGUGUAGCGGUGAAAUGCGCAGAGAUAUGGAGGAACACCAGUGGCGAAGGCGACUUUCUGGUCUGUAACUGACGCUGAUGUGCGAAAGCGUGGGGAUCAAACAGGAUUAGAUACCCUGGUAGUCCACGCCGUAAACGAUGAGUGCUAAGUGUUAGGGGGUUUCCGCCCCUUAGUGCUGCAGCUACGCAUUAAGCACUCCGCCUGGGGAUACGA